GCGAGAAUGGCGGAAUUGGCAGACGCGCUAGAUUCAGGUUCUAGUGGCCGCAAGGUUGUGCAGGUUCAAGUCCUGUUUCUCGCACCA
rnacentral:tRNA from 1 species